AAAGUCAUGGUUAAGUGGGAAACGAUGUGGGAAGGCCCAGACAGCCAGGAUGUUGGCUUAGAAGCAGCCAUCAUUUAAAGAAAGCGUAAUAGCUCACUGGUCGAGUCGGCCUGCGCGGAAGAUGUAACGGGGCUAAACCAUGCACCGAAGCUGCGGCAGCGACGCUGAUGCGUUGUUGGGUAGGGGAGCGUUCUGUAAGCCUGUGAAGGUGUGCUGUGAGGCAUGCUGGAGGUAUCAGAAGUGCGAAUGCUGACAUAAGUAACGAUAAAGCGGGUGAAAAGCCCGCUCGCCGGAAGACCAAGGGUUCCUGUCCAACGUUAAUCGGGGCAGGGUGAGUCGACCCCUAAGGCGAGGCCGAAAGGCGUAGUCGAUGGGAAACAGGUUAAUAUUCCUGUACUUGGUGUUACUGCGAAGGGGGGACGGAGAAGGCUAUGUUGGCCGGGCGACGGUUGUCCCGGUUUAAGCGUGUAGGCUGGUUUUCCAGGCAAAUCCGGAAAACUAAGGCUGAGGCGUGAUGACGAGGCACUACGGUGCUGAAGCAACAAAUGCCCUGCUUCCAGGAAAAGCCUCUAAGCAUCAGGUAACAUCAAAUCGUACCCCAAACCGACACAGGUGGUCAGGUAGAGAAUACCAAGGCGCUUGAGAGAACUCGGGUGAAGGAACUAGGCAAAAUGGUGCCGUAACUUCGGGAGAAGGCACGCUGAUAUGUAGGUGAAGUCCCUCGCGGAUGGAGCUGAAAUCAGUCGAAGAUACCAGCUGGCUGCAACUGUUUAUUAAAAACACAGCACUGUGCAAACACGAAAGUGGACGUAUACGGUGUGACGCCUGCCCGGUGCCGGAAGGUUAAUUGAUGGGGUCAGCGCAAGCGAAGCUCUUGAUCGAAGCCCCGGUAAACGGCGGCCGUAACUAUAACGGUCCUAAGGUAGCGAAAUUCCUUGUCGGGUAAGUUCCGACCUGCACGAAUGGCGUAAUGAUGGCCAGGCUGUCUCCACCCGAGACUCAGUGAAAUUGAACUCGCUGUGAAGAUGCAGUGUACCCGCGGCAAGACGGAAAGACCCCGUGAACCUUUACUAUAGCUUGACACUGAACAUUGAGCCUUGAUGUGUAGGAUAGGUGGGAGGCUUUGAAGUGUGGACGCCAGUCUGCAUGGAGCCGACCUUGAAAUACCACCCUUUAAUGUUUGAUGUUCUAACGUUGACCCGUAAUCCGGGUUGCGGACAGUGUCUGGUGGGUAGUUUGACUGGGGCGGUCUCCUCCUAAAGAGUAACGGAGGAGCACGAAGGUUGGCUAAUCCUGGUCGGACAUCAGGAGGUUAGUGCAAUGGCAUAAGCCAGCUUGACUGCGAGCGUGACGGCGCGAGCAGGUGCGAAAGCAGGUCAUAGUGAUCCGGUGGUUCUGAAUGGAAGGGCCAUCGCUCAACGGAUAAAAGGUACUCCGGGGAUAACAGGCUGAUACCGCCCAAGAGUUCAUAUCGACGGCGGUGUUUGGCACCUCGAUGUCGGCUCAUCACAUCCUGGGGCUGAAGUAGGUCCCAAGGGUAUGGCUGUUCGCCAUUUAAAGUGGUACGCGAGCUGGGUUUAGAACGUCGUGAGACAGUUCGGUCCCUAUCUGCCGUGGGCGCUGGAGAACUGAGGGGGGCUGCUCCUAGUACGAGAGGACCGGAGUGGACGCAUCACUGGUGUUCGGGUUGUCAUGCCAAUGGCACUGCCCGGUAGCUAAAUGCGGAAGAGAUAAGUGCUGAAAGCAUCUAAGCACGAAACUUGCCCCGAGAUGAGUUCUCCCUGACUCCUUGAGAGUCCUGAAGGAACGUUGAAG
rnacentral:rRNA from 1 species